UUUUCGGUGCCGCAAAGCGAAACAGAGGCGAGCCGGCGAGAUCAUAAAAAUAAAUCAAGAACCUUCGCCAAACCCCUGAGAUGGUGCGAUCUCUCUCUCACACCCUCUCUCGUCCUCUCCAUUGGAGAAAACCCUCCGCCAUGAAUACCUCAACACCCUCGCCGUCUCCUACCUCGAAGCCCGCCCGUGCGACACCGGCUUCGCCCAAGAUUCCCGACCCGAGGUUAUGACAUCACCUGUUACAAGGUUUUCUGUUGGGUCCUCUAAAGGCUGGGGCAACUCUGAUGAUUGGUGUUGCAGAUGAGCAUAUUGGAGCUGUUGUGGGUCAUGGAGCAAGGAACAUAAUGGGGAUUAGUCAGGCUAGUGGAGCAAGGAAUAAGGUAUCAGACAGAGGUUAAUUCAUUUCUUGAACAUUCGAUAGGAAAGGCACAAUACCAGGUUCAUGGGGAGCAAUGAAUGCAGCUGUAUCAAUGAUUAUGCACAAGAUAUCAUCAAUUUCUGCAAGAUAUGAUUGCCUUCACUUCUGAGUCGAGGAACAUCUUGUUACAAUGCUCAUUAACCUACAUCCAAAUCAAGAUUUUUUCGUUACAAUGCUCAUGAGAAUUUUCUGGAUAACUGACAUUGGUAAUAUCUGUAGUUAUGAUAGCAAAGCAAAGUACGAUGUAUAUGUUGUCAAGGGCUGAGGGAAAGAGGUUUUUCUGAAGUACUUGGAUUGGCAGGAUAAUGUGACCAUUUUACUGGACAUGACUGUUAGUAGAUUCUACCGUGUGCUAUGUUGAGUUUUUCAGAUUAAGUUCAA